UUCUCUGAUCUCCUAAGCAGCCUGUCAGUACCUGCUUUGCUCUGACAGCACCUCACCCUCAUGUCUGUUACUGUACUUAUCACCCACCAGCCUGUGGUGUCGCCAUAGCUCUGUCACCAAGGCCAGGCACAGGAUUGCAGCUCAGGGCAUGGUUACCGGAUGCCGGACGGGAAGAGCAGAGCUGGUGUCCGGUGUGACCUUUAGACGUUUUCCACCACCUGGCCUGCAUUUAAAGGAAGAGACCGGGGAGAGCUAGCUACCCCUCUCCUGCCCCACCCUCCCCACGUGAGGACACAGGUGCUGUCUGCGAGCCAGGAAGAGGCCUCGCUCUCACCGAACCUGACCGUGCUGGCGCGCUCAUCCUGGACUUCCCAGCCUCUAGAGCCGUGAGAAAGAAUCUCUGUUGUUUAAGUGACCUACUCUAGUCUCCUGCAGUGUGGUCUUCUGUGAGCCCAAAUGAUGAUCUGGGCCCCUCAGUCCAGGGCCAGCGAUACCAGAAGAGAGGGUGGACGCUGCCAAGCAGAUGGCUCACUUGUCUGGACGUCACCCACACACCCAUCCGUUCAGUCUCUGAACAUCCAGAGAGAAAUUAGACCUGUGCCUCGAUUGGCAAUCCCAGCAGGGCAGGGGACAGAGGGAAAUGGAGAGCCAAGGGCUUGAGGAACCUGCCCGUGGUUGAUCUGUCGGAAGUGGCAGGGCCACACGGACCGAGGCUGUAGGUCUGCAGGGUUCACUGCCGCAGCGCUGGGGGAUGCUUGUGCCCACAGGAAGAACGGACGUUCGGGUUGGGAUGCCAGUGCGUGGUAGAGAGCAGACGAUGAUGACCUGCCUGUCGGAAGGGUUCCUGCAGCCACGGAGGCAUCAGACCCCUGACUUCUAGAGCCCCUUUCUCCCUAAGAACGCUGCUCCGACUUCUCCACUUGUUUGUGUGUGAAUUUGGGGGCAGUUUUAAAGCCUUGCCACCAGCCACCGCCCUGGAGUGUGGACAGCACGCGGGCCCCACUUCUGUCUUCGUACAGGGUCUGGUGGAGGAAUGGCUGUUCCACAAGGCGUGGCUGACCGAGAGUGAGUGCACUUAGGACUGCGGACAGCGCGGCGAAGGGCCGCAUGUGUGGCCUGGCUGGAGCGCCCACCUGUGCCUGCUUCCUCCCAGGCUCUCCUCCUGCUCCCAGGCCCCUGGCCCGGGGCUCACUGUCCCCCGGGAGCCACGUGACAGGGCAGAACACAGAACACACAAGCCUUUCUGCGCUUUGUCCUCCAAAUCUCUGAGCUUUUGGAAUUGAGAGUGUUUUUAGAGCAAGUGAGCAGGAGAAGGCUAAGCUGAGUGUCUUGAAGAAGCGUCAGGAGGAGGAGAGGGGGGCGUGGCCAGGCCUACCUAAGCGGUUUUGCUGGGAGGUGAUGGGAGCCCCUGGAGGCAGGGCUGGGGGGUGCACCUGGGACCCAGGGCAGGUGGAGGAGGGUGGCCAGACAGGUCAGGGUCAGGUGUUGUGGGGGUGGGGGGUAUCCUUCAGGUGUGAUUGGUAUGGAGCUGUGCUCAGGGGCUAAGUGCCCUGCCCCCAACCCUACACCUUAAUGUCAUGUAGGGUCCCCCAAGUAUGGAAUCACCCCGGAAACUUGGGGUGAGAAGUCCCCCAGAUUGAGACCUGAGGUUUAUACGGCCACUCAUGCAUGAUUCAGAUCAGAGGUUGGCGAAUGUUUUCUGUAAAGGGUCAGAGGGUAAGUAGUCUCAGCAUUGUGGGCCAUGCUGUCUCCGUCAUAACCCUGUACCUCUGCCACUGCCGGGCCAAAGCAGCCACGGCUGUCCAUAAACGAACGAGUGUGGCUGUGUUCCAAUAAAACUUUAUUUAUGGACACAAAUUUA